GAUGAACGCUGGCGGCGUGCUUAACACAUGCAAGUCGAACGGAAAGGCCCAAGCUUGCUUGGGUACUCGAGUGGCGAACGGGUGAGUAACACGUGGGUGAUCUGCCCUGCACUUCGGGAUAAGCCUGGGAAACUGGAUCUAAUACCGGAUAGGACCACUUCGUAGUUGUUGUGGUGGAAAGUUUUUUCGGUGUGGGAUGAGCUCGCGGCCUAUCAGCUUGUUGGUGGGGUAAUGGCCUACCAAGGCGUCGACGGGUAGCCGGCCUGAGAGGGUGUACGGCCACAUUGGGACUGAGAUACGGCCCAGACUCCUACGGGAGGCAGCAGUGGGGAAUAUUGCACAAUGGGCGGAAGCCUGAUGCAGCGACGCCGCGUGGGGGAUGACGGCCUUCGGGUUGUAAACUCCUUUCGCCAAAGACGAAUUUAGGACGGUAGUUGGAGAAGAAGCACCGGCUAACUACGUG
rnacentral:rRNA from 1 species